GCCAUUCUAUAGGCUACUCCGCCUGUCUUGUAAACAGGGGGUCGCCGGUUCGAAUCCGGCAGGGGGCUCCA
rnacentral:tRNA from 1 species